rfam:Heterocephalus glaber contig97953, whole genome shotgun sequence.
GGGGAGUACAAAAUGGAUGUGGGAGUACGGAGUCACCUCUGGGCCUGGCAGAGAGGCCCAUUUAAACAUUUACAGCCUUGGGUCUCCUGAAUU